CGGCUCAGAGACGCAGUUGGGCAGGCUCUGCGGGGCCAGGGCUGGGGAAGGGCCCCCAGAUGAUCUUCGAGACCUGGGAAGCACCCCCGACCCUGGGCUGCGCCUGGCCCCCAGCUCCAGCCCCAGUGCUGUUACAGCCCAGGCAAGAGCCCACGGUCCUGCUGGUCCUGAGGGCUGGGGGAGGAAGAAUGCUGGCCAUACCCCUCCUUUGGCAAGCCCCUGUACCGCAGGAGUCUGAGUGAGCGCCCCUGGAAGAUGGGAUAAUGGGGUCACUGUGAGCAUCCCACAAGUGGGAGCUCUUUGCUUUAUUGACUGUCCCAAUUGUAGGGGCCACCGGGCCUCCAAGAGGCCCACUUUGCUGAUUCCUUGACCACCAGGAGGACCAGAGGCUCUGAUCAGGAUGAUGAAGUAACUGAGGCUCAGAGAGGUCAAUUCACUUUCUCAAGGACACACAGCUAGGAAAUGAGAGAGUCAGGAUUCAAACCUUGAUCUGCUGGCUUGGAACCUGAAUCCCUAAAGAAAAAGCAAGUUGAAUGUUUUCAAAAAUAAAACAUUUGAAGCACCUACUAUGUGUAAGACGUCGAGGUAUGUCUAUUCCAAAAAGAAAGAAAGAAAGAAAUUUGCAAAGGAAAGAGCCGGGAGACAGAGACAUAGAAGACUGCAGCGGACUGAGCCAGGAUGGGUGGGUCCAGGCCACCUCUGACUGAUGGCUUUCCGGCGAUUUGAGUGAUGGGCCAUCUGGCAGCACCUUCUGAGAGAUCUACAGGAGCUCCCAUCAGUCCGAUUUCUAGCCCAGUGCAGACCCAUCUGUCCAAUGAACUUGCAGCGUCACCUACUCUGGGCCAGUCACUCUGCCAGCACUGAAGAUGGAGCAGUGAACAAGACAGACCAAGUCUGCCCUCCUGGCGCCUACAGCCCAGAUGCGAAACACCUGGAAUGGGUAACUCCAGAGAGAAUCGGCUCAUUACGGUGUCACUUCUGCUGAUCCGGGGAUUCAGGCAGGGUCCCAUGGGGAGGGGACUCUUAAGCUGAUAUUAGCAAAAUGAAGAGCGGAAAGCAUGGUUCUAGGUGAGGGGAAUGACAUGCCUGAAGACCCUGGGGCAGAAAGGACAUAAAGCUGUCCAGACUGGAGAGAAGGUCCAAAUGGCUGGAUCUUAGAACCGAAGGUGAAGGGAGGGGAGGAGAAGCUGAGAGGAGCCAGAUAUCCGGAGCCUGGGAAUGCUACUCUGAAAGCCUGGAAAGCCAGAGAGGGAAGGAAGUGAUCAAUCAUGCUUGCAUAUUAGAAAGAUCUGUCUGGGGGACAUAAAGGGCAGACUGGGCAGGGAGGUGAGCAGAGAGUGGGAGCUGGGGGCCCAGCCUGGAUUGGGGCAGGGGCAGUGGGCACAGGGUGAAGGGAGCUGACUUCUUGAAGUGGGAAGCUCCUUAGGUCUUGGUAAGUAUUGGGCUUGGGGGUUGGGGAGAAGCAGUCGGCGAUGGCACCUGGGAACUGGGCAGGGUCAGGUGCAUGGCUGGAAGCGAUGGUCAGGGGCAAGUUCCAAAAAGAGGGGAAGCGCUGCGUCCAGCUUGGGCCACUCCAGUCUGCAGCAGUGCCCGGGGACCACAGCACAGUCCUCAGACCCCAGUCCCAGUCUAGACAGCGGCACUCUGGCCCUUUUCUGAUUGUGCCUUUCCUCAUGGGGCCAGGAAUCUGUGAUCUGGGCACCUGAGACCAUGGAAUUCCCUGCUCAAGGCCCCCCAGCCCACUUCCUGGGUCCAUCCUCCUGGGGGUGGUCUGAGCUGCCUGUUUGAGUACCCCAAUUCCUAGGGGUGGCCAAGAGGUGGCUGUUUGCAAUGGGUGUGGGCAGAGUUUACUCAUGCAGGCUGGAGUGUCAGCACCCGAGCUCGUAAAGCCCCUCAUGGAAAAGAGCAAAACCUGCGCAGAAAGAAAAGAGGGACUGAGUGGAAACCGGAGGCCAGGGCUGCCUCUCCUCGUGCUGCCACUUCCAGCAUGGACCCCAGGGGCCCGAGACUUCUAAUUACAAACCCAGCCUUCCAGGGGUGUUUGUCCUUAGGAAGGUGUAUUUGUCAGGGAAGGAGGACAGAACGUAUUUUAUUUAGUAGUUCGGUAGCUUGAUUUAUAACUUGUAAAUACUUAGACACAAGGUAUGUGGCCUUUGCUUGUGCCCUGCCCUCCAGUGUUGCCCAGAGAGGAGCAGCCGCCCGGGUUCCACAUCGGCGUCGGCUGGCUGACCCUGGACCUGGAGGUCGGCCACAGGGGAUGCUUCAGGCUUCUUCAGAGCUUCCAGACCCAACUUCAUGUGCCUCCACUGCACAUCCAUCCUUUUUUUUAAAAAAAAUUUAUUUAUUAUUUAUAUUUGGUUGCAUUGGGUCUCUGUUGCGGUGCGUGGGCCUCUCAUUGUGGUGGCUUCUCUUGUUGCGGAGCACGGGCUCUAGGCGAGUGGGCUUCAGUAGUUGUGGCACGUGGGCUCAGUAGUUGUGGCUCGCGGGCUCUAGAGCGCAGGCUCAGUAGCUGCGGCGCACGGGCUUAGCUGCUCCGCGGCAUGUGGGAUCUUCCCAGACUGGGGCUUGAACCCGUGUCCCCUGCAUUGGCAGGCGGGCUCUUAACCACUGCGCCACCAGGAAAGCCCCCAUCCUCUGUCUUUAUCCAAGGGUCCUCCCGCCUCCCCCUUUGAAUGUUCACCUCCAGCCCCUCCUGCUGCAGGAAGCCUUCGCUCCCUGGAGGCCCUGGCUCUCCAGCUUGUCACUGGUGUUAUUAGGUCACAGUGGCUCUUCUUGCGUGGUCUGACUGGCUGGGGAUGUGAGUCCUGUCCCUCCUGCGGGACCAGGAGCUCCGAGAAGCAGCAUCUCCCAGCAGAAACAGUAUCUUGCAUUUGGUAGGAAUCCAGGCUCAGAACGCACACAGGCUUGGGGUCAAAUCCCAGCUCUGUCACUUCCGUGCUGUGUGACCUUGGGAGGCGCUUCUCUGCUCUGAGCCGCUUUCUUCUGAAAACCCAUAAUCAUAAGUGUACCUCUUGCAGUGAGGAGGCAAUGUGGAACACGGAGCCCACGUGUGCCCGGCACUUGGCAAAUACUGGGAAAGGAAUUAGGAAGGGCAGGAGUUACAUCAUUCACUUCUUUUUACAGCUGAGAAAACAAGUAGAGGAGGCUGAGGGAGGUGAGGUUGUUUGCCCAAGGUCACACAGCCUGUAGGAGGAUGGGGCCCGAGAGAGGCUGACUGACUUGUGCUCUAACCACUGAGCUCUCUGCCUGCAGGCCAGCCCCCCAAGUGCCCUUCCCGGUCUCCGUGGCCCGUGGACUCCCGAAGGCCGUGUGGGGCCGCGGGGACAACUGGCACGGCCAAGGCUGAGUCCGCGGGGCGGGAAGGGUUAACGAGCUUCGCCGCAUUGGGCCGGCCUCCGGGGGAACCAGCCAAUGGGCACGCGCCGCGAUGAGGUAAUGCCGGGACCUAGCGGAGUGGGCGGAGCCGGCGGGGUCCUCGCAGGAUUUGAGUUCUUUCCCUCCCCACCUACCCCUCACCUUUGACCUUGAUGUCCCCCGCCCCGCCACCCCGCAGCCUUACACCCGUAGAAACCCCUGUGGUGGAGCUGAGGGUCUCGGGUGGCCCUGCAUCCCUUAAGGUCUGCGGCAGGAACCCGGAGACGUACUGCCUCCUCCGGGACUCAGUUUCCCCUUUUGCAAGAUCACUGAAGACCAGACCAGCGGUGGACGUUCUUGGAUCCCAGGACGGUUUUCAGCCCCUGCCUGCCCUUGGCCCACACUGUAGAGGGCACAGUCCUGGCCCCCCUCAGGCAGUGCUCAGCGCCGGGGGGGGGGGGGGGGGGGGGGCGGGGCGCAAGGAGUCUGCCAGGCCAAGGGGAGGGAGACUCACCGGCCCAGUCACACCCCCUUGUGACCCCAAAGUAUCAGCCCCUCCCUAUCCCUUGGGUGUCUGCGAUGUCGCUUCGCUGCCUCCAAGCCCCAAGUUAGCUGCAAAAGCAGCUGGAGGAGCCAGUUUGGUGGUCACAGGUCAAAGUUCAUCGAAGCACCAAAAUUAAUUGAGCGUCUACUACGUGCGGCUCAGAGCUUCGGGUCUGGCCGCUGCCUGGCCGGCUUCCGGGGCUGCCCACGACUCGGGGUCCCCAUCCCGGCCGGCCUGCAGGGGGCCGAGCGCCAAUCCCGCUGUCUGGGCACGAAGUGGUUAAAGCCUUUCUAGCCUAGCUGGCUUUGCUGCCGGCCCGGGCUUAUUAGUCAGCUCGCGGGGAGAGGGGCGGUGGGUGGGGGAGAGGAGGGGCUCGAGUUGAGAACCGCAGAAAGCUAUUCUCAGGGGCUCCCAAGUGUGGGGAGGGCGGCUCAGCAGGAGCUGCUGCUUCCCAGAAAGUUGAUUAUUUUUAACCCAGGAAGAAGAAAGGAAGGAGGCGAGGGAGAAGGACUCAGAGAAAAGAGGAGAGGAUGGCAGAAGAGAGGAGAGGAUGGGGAAAGGGAAUG